UUGCCAAUUGAGGAUUAGUGCAAUGCAUAAAGGGUAGGCAUGCUAGGUGGGGUUUUGGUGUGCUUUGGCCAAUUUAAUAAGCAUCAAAUCAGCAUCCCUUAAUCACUAUAUACAUAAUGUUAAAUACAAUAUUAACAUUUUGCAUUUUUUGUAGUUACAAUGAUAGCUAGUUACUCCUCUCUUUCAUUAGAUUUCUUACCUUUAGGGACCUUAAGUUUCAAAAAUAUGAAAUUCAUAUCUUUCUUACAAUUUUUUUAGUGCCAUGAUCUAUUAUAAAACUAGAGCACUUAGUUUAUGUUCGAGUAUGUAAAUGUAUAAAAGAUAACAACAACAUCAAU
rnacentral:lncRNA from 1 species